GUUUGUGAAUUUGAGAGAAAAAAAAUCAAGGCCUUGAACGUUUUUGAAAAUAGACAUAAAUAGACAUUGGUCAUUGAAAGUGCUUGAAUUUAUAUAUUUUGUGCAAGAAUAUACAUUUAAGUUCUUUAGAUUUCUAUUUAUUUACUUAACGUCAGUAAUGGGCUAAGUUCCGUUGUCUGCACGUGUCUCCCGCCGUCUGUGCGUCCUUGUUUCACGCGCCACCUACCUCGAGAAAGUGCGACGGUUACGUGCAUGCAUGAGGGAAUGAAGUCGAAUGAUGCAGGUUAAAUAGCUGCAAGCAAACGACAAAUCUAACGUAAAGCGGACCUUCAGCUAUGCCUGGAAAAUGUAAAUUCCAGGACUCGUGGCUCACCAAAGACAUUUACAAAGACUGGCUUGUUAAAGAUCCGCAAGGCAUCUAGAUGGCCCGAUGCAGAGCCUGCAACAAAUCAAUAAAAGUUCACGCCAUGGGAAGCACCUGUGAAGAGCCAUGCUGCUUGAGCAUCACACAGGACGGCACUCCGCAAGUUAUAAGCAGCUCCUCAAGACAGUCCGUCAAAACUCGUCAUAAGAGGACACAUUGCGGGCUGAGACAUUGUGGUGUCUGAAUAUGAUGGAGUCUCACUACUCUUUCCACUGUAGUGAACCCACGUGUGGGUGCCAUGGUUUAUUAUCUGUCACCUGUAACAUGAAAUUAUUUUUAGGAACAUGUUAUGUAUGUUUUCAUAUUCUCUCUCUGUGACACACGUUCACACACAGGCUAGAAACAGAAAUAAGUGUUUGAUUUCAAUCUUUUUUAUUCUUAGGUGUGCUGUUCUCAGCGACUUCCCAGACAGUGCAAUAGCCAAGACCUUCGCAUGCGGGGCAGCAAAGUCCAGCUGUGUGUGCACACAUGGCUUGGCUUCUCAUUUCAAGUAA
rnacentral:lncRNA from 1 species